rnacentral:rRNA from 1 species
CAAUAGCGUAUAUUUAAGUUGCUGCAGUUAAAAAGCUCGUAGUUGGAUUUCGGGUGGGAAUGGCCGGUCCGCCGUUUCGGUGUGCACUUGCUACGCCCACCUUGCUGCCGGGGACGUGCUCUUGAGUUCACGCUCGGGACACGGAGUCGGCGAGGUUACUUUGAGUAAAUUAGAGUGUUCAAAGCAGGCCUACGCUCUGAAUACAUUAGCAUGGAAUAACACGAUAGGACUCUGGCCUAUCUUGUUGGUCUGUAGGACCGGAGUAAUGAUUAAGAGGGACAGUCGGGGGCAUUCGUAUUUCAUUGUCAGAGGUGAAAUUCUUGGAUUUAUGAAAGACGAACUACUGCGAAAGCAUUUACCAGGGAUGUUUUCAUUAA